rnacentral:rRNA from 1 species
CACGUAGGGUGCGAGCGUUGUCCGGAAUUAUUGGGCGUAAAGAGCUCGUAGGCGGUGUGUCGCGUCGGCCGUGAAAACCUGCAGCUUAACUGUGGGCUUGCGGUCGAUACGGGCAUCACUGGAGUUCGGCAGGGGAGACUGGAAUUCCUGGUGUAGCGGUGAAAUGCGCAGAUAUCAGGAGGAACACCGGUGGCGAAGGCGGGUCUCUGGGCUAUAACUGACGCUCAUGCACGAAAGCGUGGGGAGCAAACAGG